GAUCGCCGGCGGCCCGCAGCCGGAGCGCGGACGCGCCGCUCCCGCAGCGCUUCCGCCCCGAUCCCGUCCGCAGGAGCGUACCCGCACGGCACGGUCACCCCGAGCUCCGCGCCGUGCCCGGCCGAGGCGCUCUGCCGGCCGAAGCCCCGCGGCGCCGUCCCGGAACAGAGCGGCGUCCCCGGGGAGCGGAGCGCUACGAGCGCGGCUGCGCGGAACCGUCGCCGCGUGGCGGUGCUCUGCUGCGCGUGGGACGCGGCCCGAAUCGCUCGGGGCUGCAGGAGGACGAAGCUCCAGCCCUGCGCUAACGGGGCUCCGAGAGGCCGGAGUCCUCGGGCCCGGUUCCAGCACCGCCUCGCACGUCCGUCCUUUCCUCCGCACGUUCCAGCGCGCGAGGUUUAAUUCUUCCAUGGGAACGCACGCGGAGGAGUUGCUGUAAACGCCACCAAACACUGCUUCUCCACACCGCAAAUAUGUACCCAGCUGUGCUCCCACUUGUCCAACCAUCUUGGUAAGAGUGGGUUUUGGAUCCCUUAACUUGCUCCUUUUCCCAUUCCAGCACUCUGAGUGAAGGAUGCAGCAUGAUCUUCACGCAGAAGGCAGCGCAGGGCUCUGUCCCUCUAUCUGCAGCACAGGCUUCAUAGGAUUUUAUUUCCAAGCCUUUUUGGAAUUGCCUUCUGCCUGCAACUUUGCUCUCAUUUUCUCCUGUUCCUUCAACUCGGAGCUGCUUUUUUGUGUGUGUGCUCUGCUCUAGAUGGCAGCAGGUCCCUGCGACACUCCUGUACGGAGCACCCAUGACACAGCUUCUGCACAAUGAUCCACUGAAGCAGAACGGCAAUAUUUAAAGGGAAAACACCAAGAACAUCUGAACAACAAAAAUAAUGAUACUCUGAAGAGAUCUGAAAAUUUUAUAUUAGAGAAGAUAUCAGGAAUGCUUUCCUACUUCUUAGGUACAUUAAACAUUUUAAUAAGUUUUAAAAA